UCGAGGAUCUUCGGCAAUGGGCGCAAGCCUGACCGAGCGACGCCGCGUGAGCGACGAAGGCCUUCGGGUUGUAAAGCUCGAAAGUAUCAAGGAAAGCGCAAGCUUGACCGCGAUACAGUAAGCACGGGCUAAGUUCGUGCCAGCAGCCGCGGUAAGACGAACCGUGCGAACGUUGUUCGGAAUCACUGGGCUUAAAGGGCGCGUAGGCGGGCCGCCAAGUCAGGGGUGAAAUACUCCAGCUCAACUGGAGAACAGCUUUUGAUACUGGCGGCCUCGAGUGAGGUAGGGGCAUGCGGAACAUUGGGUGGAGCGGUGAAAUGCGUUGAUAUCCAAUGGAACUCCGGUGGCGAAAGCGGCGUGCUGGACCUCAACUGACGCUGAGGCGCGAAAGCCAGGGGAGCAAACGGGAUUAGAUACCCCUGUAGUCC
rnacentral:rRNA from 1 species